rnacentral:rRNA from 1 species
AUUGAACGCUGGCGGCAUGCCUUACACAUGCAAGUCGAACGGCAGCAUGGAGAGCUUGCUCUCUGAUGGCGAGUGGCGAACGGGUGAGUAAUGCAUCGGAACGUACCGUGUAAUGGGGGAUAACGUAGCGAAAGUUACGCUAAUACCGCAUACGACCUGAGGGUGAAAGCAGGGGAUCGCAAGACCUUGCGUUAUACGAGCGGCCGAUGUCAGAUUAGCUAGUUGGUGAGGUAAAGGCUCACCAAGGCGACGAUCUGUAGCGGGUCUGAGAGGAUGAUCCGCCACACUGGGCCUGAGACACGGCCCAGACUCCUACGGGAGGCAGCAGUGGGGAAUUUUGGACAAUGGGGGCAACCCUGAUCCAGCCAUGCCGCGUGAGUGAAGAAGGCCUUCGGGUCGUAAAGCUCUUUCGGCCGGGAAGAAAUCGCACAGGCUAAUACUCUGUGUGGAUGACGGUACCGGCAUAAGAAGCCACGGCUAACUACGUGCCAGCCGCCGCAGUAA